GAUGAUGACGGUACCAUCAGAAGAAGCCCCGGCUAACUUCGUGCCAGCAGCCGCGGUAAUACGAAGGGGGCUAGCGUUGUUCGGAAUUACUGGGCGUAAAGCGCGCCUAGGCGGCUUUGUCAGUCAGGGGUGAAAUCCCGGGGCUUAACCUCGGAACUGCCUUUGAUACUGCAAGGCUUGAGUCUGUGAGAGGAUGGUGGAAUACCCAGUGUAGAGGUGAAAUUCGUAGAUAUGGGGUGGAAAACAAGCGGAGAAGGUAGUAU
rnacentral:rRNA from 1 species